AGAACUCUGCGGCAAACCCAUCAGGGCCUGGUGCUUUGUUCUUAGGAAUCCCCUUCAAGAUUCCUAUAAUCUCUUCAUCUGAAGGUAAGAGAAUGAGCUUAUAUGCUACCUCAGGAGGACAUCUAUAUGGUAGCAAAUCUCUCAGUUCUUCCUCAGAUAUAGAAACCACUUCAGAGUCUUUGGAACCCAAUAGGUUAUGAAAGUAAGCCACUGCCAUAUCUUUAAUCUGGGCUUUGCUUUUUUUCUUUUAAAGAGUUUCCAACAUUAAUAGCGAUUCUUGAUUUUAAUUGCUUUUUUUUAUAGCAGAGGUGGAGGUUGUAAUGCCACUCCAACUGCCUCUCUAACUGCCUCUCCAAUAGAUCCUACACUAGGGUAAAUUUCAAUGGUUCUUUGCUUCUUUUUUUUAACGAGUUUCCAACGUUAAUAACGAUUCUUGGUUUUAAUUGCUUUUUUUUAUAGCCGAGGUGGAGGUUAUAGCCAACGCCCUCCGAAAGGGAAAAGCCCACCCUUCACUAUUAUUCCGGGUGUUGAUGUUCCAGUUACUGUCAAUCCAUCCCCCACCCCAUCAA
rnacentral:lncRNA from 1 species